UAUAGAUAAUUUUUGGACAAUUGUUUUUUAAUAUAAGCACAUUUACGUCCAAAAGUUACCUACAGAUAUUAGGAACCUGAAAAAGGAAUUUAAAGAAUGGAAAGAACAAGAGCAACAAUAGACUUCACAGUCAGUUUCCUUUAAGUCCUUAGUAUAGUCACAAAGUUAAGACACAAAAGCAUUUACAACAACAACAUAGUGGGCAGAGAGUAUAAAAGAGAGGCCAUGAGGCCAUUAAGGCAAUUAAGAAAGAUUAAGAUUGCUUGUGGUGGAAAGACCCAUUAAUCAAUAGGCCAGAAAUCACAGCAGGUUAUAGAAUAUACUUCACCAAAAAAAAAAGAGAACAAACAGGCUAAAUAUAUCCCAUACCAAAGGCCACAGAGCUCUCAUUAAUGAGAAAUCAUAUUAGUCCUUCAGAUAUUGUUGGCUCCAUAGUUCGGUUUUCCAUUUGCACACGUAGGAACGGCACUGAUGAAAUGCACUGUAAGUGAUGCAAAACCAGGACUGAAAAAAUUUCUAUCCACAGUUGAAGGGAAAGCAGAGCUUACUCAAGAGGGCAUGGGCUUAUGCUGCUCAGCAUUCUGCAGGAAAGAGACAGUGACUGUGGUUAUUCAUUGCUGACAACAAUGAUGCACAAGCCCCCAUUCACAAAUCUAAAGCUGCUGUACAAAGAUGACAUGAUGCCUGUCAGAGGAUGGGUAACUGAAAAUCCUUGCAUUUGCAAAAUGCCUGUGGGCAUCUAGUGCAAGUCUUCAUAUGCUAAUGAGGAGAGGAAACAAAGUGGGAGGGCUACUGCAUGUGCUAAAUCUUGCACCUGAAAUAAUUCAGAAUUGGCUUAAGCAGGCUGCAUCCAGCUCUAGGGCACUCAGCUCCAUCUUCAGCAACAAGGUCACGACCAAUUCCAGGCUUAUACAUUUUGUCUGAAGGAGAAGCUACAGGUGGGCAGAAACUGAUUUGCUAACUGCUUUUGCAGAAAUAGCUACAGCUGGUUGAGAUUAUUUUCUUUUUAAGCAAACUGAAAAGCAGAGGUGGAAGCUGGUGAUUUUUUUUUUCAGCAAGAGGUUGAUUUCAGUUAUUUUUGAACCUGAAACUACUUCCUGGAACUAUUUCCUUGGAACUUUUUCCUUGGAAAUUUUCUGCUUCUUGACUCAAAAUAAACCUUUCUUCACUGAUAUGAAACAAUAAUACAGAAAAAAAUUAAAUUAUCAAAACUACUGAAAUGAAAUAUUUUAAUAUAUUGUUUUGAUUCAUUGUUUUGUAAGCAUUCUUGACAUGUUUUACUUUUCUAGGGAGGGAUUUGUUACUUUGAAGACUUUUAUUUGCCAUUCAGGUGAGGAAAAUAUUUUCUUACAAAACUGAAUAUGAUUCUAGAGUAUACAGAAACAGUGGAUGAGGCAUCUUUUGCAUUCAUGGGUUAAAUUAUCACUUUUGGCAUUUUUUCUUAGUGUAGUCAAGAUAUUCCACACCUUAGAGUGUCAUGCCCAGUGAUCACAAAACCUUCUGAACAGGAAGGGAUCCACAAGGAUCAUUGAGUCCAGCUCCAGUGAAUGGCCCUUACAGGGAUCAAAACCCACAACUUUGGUGCUAUAAGCACCAUGCUCUAACCAACUGAACUAAUCUCAGGGUUUUUGGUUAAUGUUACUAGCAGGUUCUAUCAAAGGCAUUGUAAAAGCCAGGAUGACUUAAGAAAAGAAGGCUGGUGUCAUGCUUGCCUCAUAGUAGUUUUGCUGUUGGGUAUAUAAUGAUAAAGACGGGAUAAAAACCUAUUCUACUUCAGGUAUUCAAGACAAUAUUAGACAGCUAUUUUCCCUAGUUCCAGAGAAGUCAGGUACCCACAGUGUUUCCUCAGAUUCAAGCAAGGCUACAGGCAUCUGAAAUUUCUUAACAACUGUAUACUUCGUUUCUUUCUUUUAGUGCAAAACAACUAAGAAAAUUCCCAGAAAAGCAAGAAAACUUAUAUAAUAAGUCUGUCUGAAACAGCUGAUUUUUAAGAUCCUACAUGACUGUGAAACAGCGUAAUCUGACGUAGGACACCUCUGCUCUAGCUUCUGGUAGCAAGUAAUUUCUUUACACAUGUUUUUCAUAGUUAGCAAAAUGCUGAGUGUUAGCUUUUGGCUGAACAAGCAAGCCUGAAGAGCUGGCUGUCUCCUUGACUGCAAAGAGAAAAAGUCUUUUCCUAUAUGGUGGUUGCAUUGUGCUUUUGAAGAUAUUGGAGCCUAUUUUGAUACCAAAUGUGUGCUACUGUUUUGGGAGGCAAAUGUUGUGGGAGGCAAAGGCACUCAGUAGAUGUUUGUUGCCUGCAAAAAUAAAGAAGCCUGAGAUUUCCAGGCUUCUUCAUCUUGAUGCUAUUUAUAUUGUAGUAAACAAAUAUUUUAUUGUUGGUGUGUGUCACAGUAGUGUCUGAGAAUAUUAGCCAAUUUCUAGCUGCUCUAUGUCUGUUGUCUGCCAUUCCUGUUCUGUAUACAAACAACUCACUCUUCUAUUGCAGCUUCUCAAUUUUACUACAUAAACACAUCUUCUAUCAUAUUGUUUAUCCAUGCAUGGAGCAAGCAAACAAUCUGACUGCACCAUUCUGGACCUCUUGACAUUUAGAGAGAGUUGGGAUUUAGACAGACCAUUGAAGGAAUUUCAGUAUUCAAGAUGUGAAGUGAUUAAGACGUGAACAAGGAUUUCAGCAGAAGCAAGGUCAAGGUGAAGAUGAACUCAAGCAGAAUUUCAGAGGAGUUCAAGAAUACUUCCUGGUGUCAAAGAAGUCACCACAACUCUCACUCCCAAUGUCUGAUACCAGGCAGAAAGAAGACUUCCAUGGAAAUAAUGUAGAGUUCCCAGGUUAAGCAUCCUCACUGAUUACCACUGCUCCAUUUAAACAGGAGGGAGACAACUUCUUCACAAGCAGAAUGCCACUUAGGGCUCUUAGGGUGGAUGCAGUCACCGUGUUGACAAGAAGCAACACAGGCAGCACCAAGUUACCCUUUCACAUGUUAUCGAGCACACUCUAUCCUGUCUCGUUAACAGGGACAGAAAGGUACCUCCCACUCCACCCCCCCACUGAUAAAUUGCCAGCACGGCUUUAAGUCAACAACCUUAAAUGCCAUCAAGAAAGCAGUUGGUGGUCAACACAGAUCUCAGUGAGACAAACUGUUUUGCAGACCUGUCAUACUGCAACAAUUUUGGUUUCUGACUACAUAGACUGCUUGGAAUUGGGGAUGAUGAAGGUACACAGAAUAGUAAUGAAGUUUGUGCUUGGGAGAACAACUUGCACCACAGAGCUAAGGACAGGAACUGGUAUUUUAAGGCCAGGAAUGAUCGUAAAGAUGUUCAGCUUUCCUUUGCUCUUUCCAAGUUUUCCACUAGCUUAAAACCUAACCAUACAGCCAGACUGCCAACACAAAUAAUGAAGGGGUCAUCUUUUUUGACAAACAGCAAGCCAAAUCAUGCUUCUCAUUCCCUUCUAUAGCAUCUAACUGUACCUCACCUACAUGAAGUUCCACAAGUGGGUUGUUAUGCAUUUGCCAGGUAAAGUAUUCCACUCUUUCAGCCAGAAUGGAAAUGGUGCUGGACAUGAGAAAUCCUUCAAGAAACUCUAAAUUUCCCUGUUACUUACUGGGUAUCAAGCAUGGGGCAGGUACUUUUACAAUGUCUGAGAGAACUUCUGCAAAGAAAACGAGAUAUUGCUCCAAGUAGUACCAAGUAGUACCUUAGUGACAUUCACCAGCAAUCCCUGGUGAAUGGGCCUGCUCAUUUUUGUUAUAUUUUUCCAAGAAAUGGCUAUGAUUGCAACAGUAAAAUCAUCUGUCUUCAAUGUAAAUGCUACCUGCAUCCAGACAUUUAACCCACAAGUAGGCUUUACCUGCUGACUUGGUCAAUAACAGCAGUCAACAUUUGGUAUCACUCUAUUUUCUCUGCCAUGCAAAAUGCUCAUUCCCAUUCUGAUUAAUUUUGUUAGUUUAUAGUGCUAGACAAUAUUGAUAAUUCUCUUUGGGGGGUUGUUUAAUGGGAUGACCUUAACAAGAAUAAAAUAGCCGGAUAUGGACUUGUUUUAACAUUGUAUUACUUUCUAAAAACAUAAAAAUUAUCUGUUCUGAAUUA